ensembl:lncRNA
AGAUCAUUUAAGCCAGUGAGAGUGGGUGAGUGUGAUGGAGGGAAGUGGAAAACGGAGAAAGAGACGGAGUGACCAUCGGAGACAUGGGAGAAAGUGGCAAAGUUCAACCGUGAACAUAAAGGCAAGAGAAGAAGAGUCCAUGCUGUUUCAGUGUCCUAGAACAGCAGGGACAGGCGAGAUCAUCAGAGGUCAAAGGUACAUUCCAGGUGGAACGCUGGGAAGCACUAAAACGAGCUACAAAGAGAAAUCGACAGUCAGAUGGCGCGACUGUCAAAGGGUUCACGCGGGUUAUCGCUACCGCCGAUAAGACAAGCAAACUACAGUGCAGGAGGCAAACAAGCGAAGUGAACAAGGUGAUUAAUCACACGGUCAUUAAAAGCCAAUCACUUCCCAGUUUAUACACUUAGUUGUCAGUUUAUUAGGUACACCAUGAUUAGCUAC